UACCAAGAGUGGUUGGAAGUCGUCCCAAGCAGAUUUAAAAACGAAAAUUGCUAUCGCAAGUAUAGAGUUUGCGAUAGACAUUUUGAACCAGAAGGAAAGUACGGGAAGGGUCGCCUUCAAAGAUAGCGAUUCCUAAACUACAUUUACCUAGUGAGCCUACCACAGUUGGAAAUCAAGUGGUUGAUGAUGCGGGAUGUGUAUUACAAAAUCCUAUAGAAGUUGAGGUUGCUUCAAGUACUUGGGGUGGACUAAUACAUGAAGAAUCUAUACCCUAUGUAGGAGUUUAUUGUGCUUCUGUGACAUGCAUCAAGAAAACGAAACCAACAGUUUUGAUAUGGGAGGAGAUGAAUAUUGAUUUGGAGUAAGGAUGACAACGCCGAAGCGGACCUACGCAUCAAAUACGCUACUGAAUAGAAUAUAUUAUUCUUACAGAUAAUAAAACCUAAGGAAG